GCUAGGAAGAGGAAGAAAGAGAGAGCUCAAGAGCAAUAGCCAUGGGAACAUGGAGGAAAGCCCUCCUUGUUUAAUUGCAUCUCUAGUGUUGGAGGUGUAAAUAUUUGGCAUGAAACUUUUCCUAAUGCCUCCCAUUCCUAUCGUUCUUGUGCACUACUUCCUCUUCCUUUUGGCU
rnacentral:pre_miRNA from 1 species